AAAAAAACUUCAGUGGGACAACUGCAUGUUUCAAAUACACAUUCAGUUUUUCUUUAUAAAAAUUGCUUUAUCCUUAUCAAUUUUCCAUUAGGGUUAUAUCCAAACUGCUCAACUUUAUCCUUAUAAACUUCCCUUUUAACUUUAUUCUCUUCUCAUUUUUUUUCAACCAUGCACUGCAUUCUUUUCCUAAAAUUUUCUUUCGCAGAGUCAAGAAAAGAUUUAAACUACGACAUAAUCAUGCAAUUAAUAUUGCAGUAACACCAAUAUUUAUCAAAAAGACAAGGAGAAGAUUUAUGAUUCUUACUGACAUAUAUUUAAGGAUUAACUGUAUUUUAUUUCUUUGUGUAGAAGAACAAGGAGAAAUUUUUAAGAGCAAUUUGUUAGCAUCAAAUUGCGGUUGAAAGGCGAAACGGGGGAAGCCUUAUAGAGCAAAUAGUCAUGACUGUGAUGGAAGAUUGUCCAAUCUCAACGGUUACAGAUAUUACAAACGGAACGAGGAAGAUCGGAGAUUACUUUAAUGAUUUUGUAAUGAGUCAUUGAUAAAUAUUUAUUGAAAAUGUUCCUCUUCAAGAUGAGGUUUACGAAAAAUAUUAAUUUCUCAUCAAUCAAUAUUAUGCUAGAAUACAUGUUCAAUUA